rnacentral:sRNA from 1 species
CCUCGUCGCGACCGGCCCGGGCCGCAGGACGCCGCGCUCGGGGGAGCUGAGCCACCUCUCCGCCAGGCCCGUGCGAGCGGGCAGCAGCCACAUUGGCAGUGAGGCCGUGGCAGCGUCGGCAGCAGAGGAUGCCCCAGGCCCUGGAGCGUGCAGAUGGCAGCUGGGCCUGGGUGGUGCUGCUGGCCACCAUGGUGACCCAGGGCCUCACCCUGGGCUUCCCCACGUGUAUCGGCAUCUUCUUCACUGAACUGCAAUGGGAGUUCCAGGCCAGCAACAGCGAGACCUCUUGGUUCCCCUCCAUCCUCACGGCUGUGCUCCACAUGGCAGGGCCCCUGUGCAGCAUCCUGGUGGGACGCUUCGGCUGCCGAGUGACCGUGAUGCUGGGGGGCGUGCUGGCCAGCCUGGGCAUGGUGGCCAGCUCCUUCUCUCACAACCUCAGCCAGCUCUACUUCACAGCAGGAUUCAUCACAGGUGGAAGGCCCUAGUGCGCCUCCAGGCUGGUUUCCCCUCUUGCCCCGCAGGCCUGGGCAUGUGCUUCAGCUUCCAGUCAAGCA